rnacentral:piRNA from 1 species
UGGUUGUCCUGUGGAGUGUUCAGCUCUCA